CACAAAGCUCCCCCUGGGGCUGUCAGCUGAUGUGCUGAAAUUACCUCUGAGCCUGUUUUCCCUGCGAGCUUGGGACUCUAGAACCCUGUCUUCUUGAGCCAGACACGCUAGCCUGCUGCAGCAUAGACUCAGGGUCUGAGUCAUGCCCCCAAAGCUGCAGA